AGUGGAUGGGGAGCAACCUAGUUGUGCGUGUGUAAAGGUAGUGCCAAGAAAAGCGAUGAUCAUGUUGAAAAUCAAUUCCCGGUACCCGAAACCGACACAGGUGGGCAAGUAGAGAAUACUAAGGGGCGCGAGGUAACUCUCUCCAAGGAACUCGGCAAAAUGACCCCGUAACUUAGGGAGAAGGGGUGCCACCGAGAGGUGGUCGCAGUGAAGAGGCCCAGGCGACUGUUUAGCAAAAACAUAGGUCUCUGCAAACUCGAAAGAGGAGGUAUAGGGGCUGACGCCUGCCCAGUGCCGGAAGGUUAAAGAAGUUGGUCAGUUUUAGGAUGAAGCUAGCGACUGAAGCCCCGGUGAACGGCGGCCGUAACUAUAACGGUCCUAAGGUAGCGAAAUUCCUUGUCGGGUAAGUUCCGACCCGCACGAAAGGCGUAACGAUCUGGGCGCUGUCUCGGAGAGAGGCUCGGCGAAAUAGGAUUGUCUGUGAAGAUACGGACUACCUGCAUUUGGACAGAAAGACCCUAUGAAGCUUUACUAUAGCUUGGAAUUGUGUUCGGGCUUCCUGUGCGCAGGAUAGGUGGAGGCGUAGAAGGUAUUCUUGUGGGGAUACUGGAGCCAACGGUGAGAUACCACUCUCAGGAGGCUAGAAUUCUAACUUAAUUAAGGACAGUUUCAGGUGGGUAGUUUGACUGGGGCGGUCGCCUCCAAAAAGGUAACGGAGGCGUACAAAGGUUCCCUCAGACUGGUUGGAAAUCAGUCGAAGAGUGCAAAGGCAGAAGGGAGCUUGACUGCGAGAAGUACAGUUCGAGCAGGGUGGAAACACGGUCUUAGUGAUCCGACGGUGCUGUGUGGAAGGGCCGUCGCUCAACGGAUAAAAGUUACUCUAAGGAUAACAGGCUGAUCUCCCCCAAGAGUUCACAUCGACGGGGAGGUUUGGCACCUCGAUGUCGGCUCAUCGCAACCUGGGGCGGAAGUACGUCCCAAGGGUUGGGCUGUUCGCCCAUUAAAGCGGUACGUGAGCUGGGUUCAGAACGUCGUGAGACAGUUCGGUCCAUAUCCGAUGUAGGCGUGAGAAUAUUGAGAGGAGCCUUCCUUAGUACGAGAGGACCGGGAAGGACGCACCGCUGGUGUACCUGUUAUGAUGCCAAUUGUAAACGCAGGGUAGCCAAGUGCGGAGAGGAUAACCGCUGAAAGCAUCUAAGUGGGAAGCCCACCUCAAGAUGAGUAUUCUGGUGUAAGGUCACGGGAAGACGACCCGUAAAUAGGCACGAGGUGGAAGUGCAGAGAUGUAUGAAGCCGAAGUGUACUAAUAGACCGUCGGCUUGAGC
rnacentral:rRNA from 1 species